rnacentral:rRNA from 1 species
UGGGGAAUAUUGCACAAUGGGGGAAACCCUGAUGCAGCGACGCCGCGUGAACGAAGAAGGUAUUCGUAUCGUAAAGUUCUGUCCUAUGGGAAGAUAAUGACAGUACCAUAGAAGAUAGCUCCGGCUAAAUACGUGCCAGCAGCCGCGGUAAUACGUAUGGAGCGAGCGUUGUCCGGAAUUAUUGGGCGUAAAGGGUACGCAGGCGGUGUAAUAAGUCGAAUGUUAAAGAUCGGGGCUCAACCCCGCAAAGCAUUGGAAACUGAUAAACUUGAGUAGUGGAGAGGAAAGUGGAAUUCCUAGUGUAGUGGUGAAAUACGUAGAUAUUAGGAGGAAUACCAGUAGCGAAGGCGACUUGCUGGACACAAACUGACGCUGAGGUACGAAAGCGUGGGGAGCAAACAGG